UACGAAGGUCCCGAGCGUUGUUCGGAAUCACUGGGCGUAAAGGGAGCGUAGGCGGCGCGGUAAGUCAGAUGUGAAAUCCCGGGGCUCAACCCCGGAACUGCAUCCGAUACUGCCGUGCUAGAGGAUUGGAGAGGUAGCUGGAAUUCCUGGUGUAGCGGUGAAAUGCGCAGAGUAUCAGGAGGAACACCAAUGGCGAAGGCAGCUCGCUGGGACGGUACUGACGCUGAGACGCGAAAGCGUGGGGAGCAAACAGG
rnacentral:rRNA from 1 species